CAACAACUUGGCCCAGUGCCAGCAGUGGUUUUUAUUUUUGUUUGUUCUCCGUUUUUGGUAUGUGUCUCCGCGAUAAAUAUUCGUAAACUCUUGGAAAUAUUCAUAAUACCGUUGUAGAUGAAUGGAUAUAAAAGUUAACUGAUAUAUUUGUUAAUUUAUGAAUAUAAUGAAGUUUCCAAUAGAGAUGUUCUUCGGCGACAAGUUUUAAUUUGCAUAAUUUAUAUCUAAUUCAAAAUCAAAAACGAAGAGAAGCCGAAGAAGCGGAGCAAAGACACACCGUAACUCUUCACACUUUAAAUUUUGAAAUUCAAAACAGCUUCAAAGCCAAGGUCACUUAGCAACAACAGCAACAGCAACCAAAAAGACGGACAACCAUCAAACCAGACAUCAUCAACAUAAAAUUUGAAAAAUAAAGUGUGCCACAAUAAGCGUGCGUGUGUGUGUGUGUUUGUGUGCGUGCAUGCGGGUCUUCUGUCGGUUCGACGAAAAAUGUAUUUAUUAUUACCAAAUAUUUGUCAACGUUAGUGCUAAACGCUUGUGGUAGCCGCCAUUAAGCCUAUGAGUGAUAAUUUGGAACAAGGCUUGUGCACGGAACUCACCCAUUCACUAAAUAACCAUCAUCAAGCUCCUCGUCCGCAUUGUAGAGGCAAGCGACAUCGAUUGGUUGUGACAACAAGCAAAGAAACUCAACUCAAUUUGUCUACGUCUAAUCCAUCCAGUCAGCCAACCAUCCUCAAACGCAUCUGAAAAAUUAACAGUGUUGCCAUUUACAUACCCCAUCUCCUGGCUCCGUAUCUCUCAUUCUGGCCUCUGGCACCAUGGUCUUUAAAUAUUUGCAAAUAGUCAUACAAAAUCUCUUUGACAUUUUGAAAAUCUAUUUGAAAUUUGCCAUAUUGGCUUUGGGUUUGUAUCUCGCGGCCGAAUGGUAUAUUGUGCGUUUCGGCAUCGAUCUGGAUGAUGAGCGGGCCACAUUGGUGCCUAAACAACUGGCCGAGAAUAGCACCGUGCAUAAGGUUUAUCGAUUUGUUGUGGAUUUUUUCUUUAGAUGACAACCACGGCAAACAUGUCAUUCAGCGACAACAAGAACAACCAGUUUUAUGAUUUGAUUUAAAGUGUUUCUGAUAUUUGAAAAUUCAGAAGAAGACAUUGCAUACGUGCGAGUGUAUCUUUUUCAUAUAUAUAUAUAUAUAUAUAUAUAUAUAUUUAUUUUUUUUUUUUUUUUGUGUUAAUUCAUUCAAUAUCAAAUAUCAAGUUCUCAAUCAAACGGACAGCAUUAUAUUUUGGAUGAUUGAGAAAGAUGUGCAGUUUUUGAAAUUUAAUAUUGUAUUUAUUAAUAAAUGUUUAUUUUAAUUGAAUAAA